rnacentral:rRNA from 1 species
ACUUGAACAGGCUGUUUUGCUGGCCCCCCUCGUGGGGUAAGUGCACGCUUGUCAUCUUUGUUUCUCCCAACUGUGCACAUAUUGUAGACCCCUGGAUUGAGGAUUGCCAUGUGGGCUUUCCUUGCAUUUUUCUCCAGGUCUAUGUUGUUUUCACAAUCUCUGAAUGUCGUUAGAAUGUUUGUUGGAAAUAUAUAUAUACAACUUUCAGCAAUGGAUCUCUUGGCUCUCGCAUCGAUGAAGAACGCAGCGAAAUGCGAUAAGUAAUGUGAAUUGCAGAAUUCAGUGAAUCAUCGAAUCUUUGAACGCAUCUUGCGCUCCUUGGUAUUCCGAGGAGCAUGCCUGUUUGAGUGUCAUCAAGUUCUCAACUGCGCCAAUCUUUUUUGGUGUGGCUUUGGAUAUGGGGGGAUUUGUUUUGCAGGCUUUUAAAGUCUGCUCCCCUGAAAUGUAUUAGUGGUAUCUGAGCAGGGACUACUACUACAGGUGUGAUAAAUCUAUCUAUGCCUUGGUAUGACCGCUACACCGCUUCUAACA